CUCCAUAUAUUCUGUCUUUGAUCGGCUUAGGCGAAGACCUUUAGAUUCCAACACUUCUCUCCAAAGGUUAAGUUUCGCAUUUACCUAUUCCUGAGUUUCAUCUAUCAACACUAUAUCGUUUGCGAAAAGCAUACACCAAGGAAUAUCAUCUUGAAUAUGUCCUGUUAACUCAUCCAUUACCAACACAAAAAGGUAAGGACUUAAGGAUUGUUGAUGCACAAAAUCAGUGAGGGCUUCGGUACAACAGAAAGUAUUAAGUUUGUGAUCUUCGCUAGAUUGCUCCGGUCAUUAGUGUGGAUAAGUAUGUAAAUGGAUAGAGACAGGAAAGCAAACACAAGAUGUACGUGGUUCACCCAGAUUGGCUACGUCAACGGAGUAGAGGAGUUCUCAUUAAUUGUGAAGGGUUUACACAAGUACAUAGGUUCAAGCUCUUCUUUAGUGAGUACAAGUGAAUGAUUUAGUACAAAUGACAUUAGGAAAUAUUGUGGGAGAAUGAUCUCGUAAUCACGAAACUUCUAAGUACCGAAGUGUGGUAUCGUCUUCACUUGCCUUAUCUGUCUCAUAGGUAGAUGUGGCAUCUUCUCUAGAAGUACUCUUCCUCCAUCCAGGGGUGGUAUCUUUAACUGGUAGAGAUGCACAAGGUAAUGUAUCAAUUUCACUUGAAGCUUACUUGUAGUUUCAGACUUGGUCAAGCGCGAUGCAAACCAUGUAGUAGGAGUCCCCCCAAGUCGCCGAGCUAUGAGAUCUGCUGAAAGAGGUGACAGACAAGGUAAGCAAUCAGAGCUCCAAGCAAUCAGUCCCAGAUCAGAAGUUUGAUUUCGAGUUCCGGCUGAUUGUUCUCAUUCUCCCUAUCUUGCAGGCAGCAUGAAGGAUAAAGAAAAGAAAAUAAGAAGAGGUGAUAUGAGAUACUUUUGCUUUUGAAGAAGUAACUUUCCACAGGCUUAUUCUUGAACUGGGCUGGAGGGUUUUCUGGUUUCCUCCAGAGUAUAAGGCCGACUAAAGAAUUUGAGGGUCAAAACAAGUCCAUCAAAUCUAGAGUACGUUCGACCCUGCUGAUAUGGGAUACUUUUGCUGUUGACAAAGUAGUGGAUGUAUCGGCAUGUGUUCUGUUACGCUUGUCUCCACAUGCUUCCUUGUAUCCUUCUCACUUGCCCUAUCUGUUCCUUAGGCAGAUGUGGUAUCUUCUCUGGAAACAUAAGAUGUUGAAGAUGAGUACUCGAGAGUAAUGCCAGGUAAGUAAUCAGGUAAGGGGUUCCAGGCAGUCAGUUCCUGACUGGAAGCUUGAUUCCAAGUGCUGACUGAUUGCUCUCUUUCUUCUUGUCUUGCAGGUAAGAACAAGGCCAAAGAAAAAGACAGGGAAAAAGCAUGAUAUGGGAUACUCUUGCUUUUAACCCUGAUGAUAUGAGAUAUUCUUGCUCUGGUGUAGCUUGUUUGCAGAGGUAUUAUCGGGGGGAAAGAAAGCUGAGUAUUUCGAGAGGCUUCGUUGGGAGUGCCUUAUCAGAUAUGAGGAAGGGUUGAGCAUUUUUGCAGGUCUUCCUGUUCGUUGAGGAUGGAGGUCGACAUAUAUAGGAGUCUCUCUAACAACAAGUAGUAAUGUUAUUCCUUUAUCCUGCUUGGUCAUAACACGGUAGUGGGAGCUGCCAGCUUCAUGUGUUUUAACUCUGUCAGAGCACUUUGAAAAAGUGGUCUGUGGUAUCUAGAAAGCUGAUGUUGCGUGUGAAGAUUAUAGACAAGCUUUAUCCAAUGAGAUCUGGCUCUCGAAGUUGAGAAAGCGGUGCCUCUUCGGUUUUCGAACAAGCAAUCAUGUGGGGGAUAUGGCUCUCAAGAUUCGGAGAACGGUGCCUCUUCGAUUUUUGAGAAAGCAAUCCUGCUGGGAGUCUGGCUCUUGAGAUUGGAAUAGCAGUGUCUCUUCGAUUUUUUAGAAAGUAAUCAUGUUGGGAGUCUAGCUCUUGAGAUUUGAAAGGCGGUGCCUCUUCGAUCUUGGAGUAAGCAAUCUUGUUGGGAGUGUUUUCUCGAAUGUGAGUAAAUGUUGGGCAUGUUUGCUAGUCUACCUUGCCACAGAGCACAGAGGUUGACACACAGGGACUUUCUAUGGUUGAGAUCUCCAUCUAAUUCUCCGUUCUUUUGCAAGAUAGAUCCUAGGUAGCGAAAACGAUCGCUCUUUGGUAUUUCCUGAUCUCCGAUCCUCACCCCUAACUCAUUUUGGCCUUCAUUUGCACUGAACUUGCACUCCAUAUAUUCUGUCUUUGAUCGGCUUAGGCGAAGACCUUUAGAUUCCAACAUUUCUCUCCAAAGGUUAAGCUUUGCAUUUAUCCCUUCCUGAGUUUCAUCUAUCAACACUAUAUCGUCUGCGAAAAGCAUACACAAAGGAAUAUCAUCUUGAAUAUGUCCUGUUAACUCAUCCAUUCCCAACGCAAAAAGGUAAGGACUUAAGGAUGAGCCUUGAUGUAAUCCUACAGUUAUGGAGAAGCUUUCAGUUUGUCCUUCAUGAGUUCUUACGACAGUCUUUGCUCCUUCAUACAUAUCUUUUAUAGCUUGGAUAUAUGCUACUCGUACUCCUUUCUUCUCUAAAAUCCUCCAAAGAAUGUCUCUUGGGACCCUAUCAUACGCUUUUUUCAAAUCUAUAAAGACCAUGUGUAAAUCCUUUUUCCCAUCUCUAUAUCUUUCCAUCAAUCUUCGUAAGAGAUAGAUUGCUUCCAUGGUUGAGCGCCCUGGCAUGAACCCGAAUUGGUUGUCCGAAACCCGUGUCUCUUGCCUCAAUCUAUGCUCAAUGACUCUCUCCCAGAGCUUCAUUGUAUGACUCAUUAGCUUAAUACCCCUAUAGUUCAUGCAAUUUUGUACGUCGCCCUUAUUCUUGUAGAUAAGCACCAAAGUGCUCUUUCGCCACUCAUUUGGCAUAUUCUUCGUUUUCAAAAUCAUAUUGAAAAGGUCAGUGAGCCAUGCUAUACAUGUAUCUCCCAAGACUUUCCACACUUUGAUCGGUAUAUCGUCUGGCCCCACUGUUUUUCUAUGCUUCAUCUUCUUCAAAGCUACAACCACUUCUUCCUUCCUGAUUCGACGAUAAAAUGAGUAG
rnacentral:lncRNA from 1 species